rnacentral:rRNA from 1 species
UACGGAGGAUGCAAGCGUUAUCCGGAUUCACUGGGUUUAAAGGUGCGUAGGUGGGCAGGUAAGUCAGUGUGAAAUCUCCGAGCUUACUCGGAAACUGCCAUUGAUACUAUCUGUCUUGAUUAUCUGGAGGUGAGCGGAAUAUGUCAUGUAGCGGUGAAAUGCUUAGAUAUGACAUAGAACACCAAUUGCGAAGGCAGCUCACUACGGAUAUAUUGACAC